rnacentral:rRNA from 2 species
CACGGGGGGAGCAAGCGUUGUUCGGAAUCACUGGGCGUAAAGGGCGUGUAGGCGGUCAAGUAAGUGGAAUGUGAAAUGCCUCGGCUUACCCGGGGACCUGCAUCCCAAACUGCUUGGCUUGAGUAUGGGAGAGGAUGAGGGAAUUCCUGGUGUAGCGGUGAAAUGCGUAGAUAUCAGGAGGAACACCGGUGGCGAAAGCGCUCAUCUGGCCCAAUACUGACGCUGAGGCGCGAAAGCUAGGGGAGCAAACGGG